GACGAACGCUGGUGGCGUGCUUAACACAUGCAAGUCGAACGGAAAGGCCCUGCUUUUGUGGGGUGCUCGAGUGGCGAACGGGUGAGUAACACGUGAGUAACCUGCCCUUGACUUUGGGAUAACUUCAGGAAACUGGGGCUAAUACCGGAUAGGAGCUCCUGCUGCAUGGUGGGGGUUGGAAAGUUUCGGCGGUUGGGGAUGGACUCGCGGCUUAUCAGCUUGUUGGUGGGGUAGUGGCUUACCAAGGCUUUGACGGGUAGCCGGCCUGAGAGGGUGACCGGCCACAUUGGGACUGAGAUACGGCCCAGACUCCUACGGGUGGCAGCAGUGGGGAAUAUUGCACAAUGGGCGGAAGCCUGAUGCAGCAACGCCGCGUGCGGGAUGACGGCCUUCGGGUUGUAAACCGCUUUCGCCUGUGACGAAGCGUGAGUGACGGUAAUGGGUAAAGAAGCACCGGCUAACUACGUGCCAGCAGCCGCGGUGAUACGUAGGGUGCGAGCGUUGUCCGGAUUUAUUGGGCGUAAAGGGCUCGUAGGUGGUUGAUCGCGUCGGAAGUGUAAUCUUGGGGCUUAACCCUGAGCGUGCUUUCGAUACGGGUUGACUUGAGGAAGGUAGGGGAGAAUGGAAUUCCUGGUGGAGCGGUGGAAUGCGCAGAUAUCAGGAGGAACACCAGUGGCGAAGGCGGUUCUCUGGGCCUUUCCUGACGCUGAGGAGCGAAAGCGUGGGGAGCGAACAGGCUUAGAUACCCUGGUAGUCCACGCUGUAAACGGUGGGUACUAGGUGUGGGGUCCAUUCCACGGGUUCCGUGCCGUAGCUAACGCUUUAAGUACCCCGCCUGGGGAGUACGGCCGCAAGGCUAAAACUCAAAGGAAUUGACGGGGCCCCGCACAAGCGGCGGAGCAUGCGGAUUAAUUCGAUGCAACGCGUAGAACCUUACCUGGGUUUGACAUGGAUCGGGAGUGCUCAGAGAUGGGUGUGCCUCUUUCGGGGUCGGUUCACAGGUGGUGCAUGGCUGUCGUCAGCUCGUGUCGUGAGAUGUUGGGUUAAGUCCCGCAACGAGCGCAACCCUUGUUCACUGUUGCCAGCACGUUAUGGUGGGGACUCAGUGGAGACCGCCGGGGUCAACUCGGAGGAAGGUGGGGAUGACGUCAAGUCAUCAUGCCCCUUAUGUCCAGGGCUUCACGCAUGCUACAAUGGCUGGUACAGAGAGUGGCGAGCCUGUGAGGGUGAGCGAAUCUCGGAAAGCCGGUCUCAGUUCGGAUUGGGGUCUGCAACUCGACCUCAUGAAGUCGGAGUCGCUAGUAAUCGCAGAUCAGCAACGCUGCGGUGAAUACGUUCCCGGG
rnacentral:rRNA from 1 species